UGUGCCCUACGGGAGGCAGCAGUGGGGAAUAUUGGACAAUGGGGGGAACCCUGAUCCAGCGACGCCGCGUGAGUGAAGAAGUAUUUCGGUAUGUAAAGCUCUAUCAGCAGGGAAGAAAGAAAUGACGGUACCUGACUAAGAAGCCCCGGCUAACUACGUGCCAGCAGCCGCGGUAAUACGGAGGAUGCGAGCGUUAUCCGGAUUUAUUGGGUUUAAAGGGUGCGUAGGCGGAAUGCCAAGUCAGCGGUAAAAUCGCGGGGCUCAACCUCGCUCCGCCGUUGAAACUGGCGUUCUUGAGUGGGCGG
rnacentral:rRNA from 1 species